rnacentral:rRNA from 1 species
GACGUAGGAUGCGAGCGUUAUUCGGAUUUAUUGGGCCUAAAGCAUCCGUAGCCGGUUUUACAAGUCCCCCGUUAAAUCCAGCUGCUUAACAGAUGGGCUGCGGAGGAUACUAUAAGACUAGGAGGCAGGAGAGGCAAGCGGUACUCAGUGGGUAGGGGUAAAAUCCGUUGAUCCAUUGAAGACCACCAGUGGCGAAGGCGGCUUGCCAGAAUGCGCUCGACGGUGAGGGAUGAAAGCUGGGGGAGCAAACCGG